AUGGAAAAUGUAUUGAGUAAAAAGUUAAAUAUUUUGUUUAGAACAGGGGUCGAAAAGGUCAGUGUGCAAAAUGUGUGCAAAAGUGUUAUAGAUGAGACAGAAACGUCAAGACAGGAGAGAGAAAGAUUACAUCUGAGGUUUGUAACAUCAACAGUGAGGACAAACCCAGCCUGCCUCUCUCCUUCCACACUGAAUCCAAACCUACGGUCACUGGGUCCUGAUUGUGACAGUGGAGCCCAGUUUGCACUGCAGGAUCCAGAGAUGACAUCAGUGAAGCUGGAAGACUGCAGUCAAACACUGGAGCUGAAUGCCAACAUUAAAGAUGAAGAAGAGGAGGAGACGAUUGGGAAAUCUGUUCAUCAUGGAGACCAUGUUGACACAUUCUCUACAUCCAGAGAGCAACAGCAGGAAGAUCCCAGAGCUAAGAGGUCUCACCACUGCCCACAUUGAGGAGAUUUUCCCAAUUCUAUCAAAGCUAAAAAUACACCUAAAAAUAGACACNNNNNNNNNNUUCUACAUAAUACAUUUGUUCUGAUCGUGGCUGGAAACAGCCCUGGUAGUCGCUUGUCCCUACCUAUGUGAAGUUAGCUACAAUAACGAUUAGCCACAAUAGUGGGAUUUGCGGUUCCCCCUCAAAAUAAAAGUUCCUCAUUGAAAGUAACGCAAACGGAUACAAAAUAGUGCAAUCAUGCCAUACUGGACUAGAUAACGCUAAACAUGAUUUGAAUGUUGUUACUUAAUUUAAAAUGAAUUACAAUAAUGAAUUNNNNNNNNNNUGGGUAGCUGAUUCAGAGCUUAAAUAGACACAUUUAUUAAUCACAGGAACCAGGACUAAUAAAGCCAAUGCAACUGACUGUUUUACAAACGCUAGGCCUUCCACAUGGAUGGACAUUCAUAAAGUUAUAGACCGACACUGUAGGAUACACCCCAGUAAACACUGUAGGAUACACCCCAGUAAACACUGUAGGAUACACCCCAGUAAACACUGUAGGAUACACCCCAGUAAACACUGUAGGAUACACCCCAGUAAACACUGUAGNNNNNNNNNNGCUUAUGUUAAUUAAAUCAUCCCCCAUUUGGCGAAGUAGGCUGUAAUUCGAUGAUAAUUAACAGGUACCGCGUUGAUUAUAUGCCACGCAGGACAAACUAGUUAACCUAGUAAUAUCGUCAACCAUGUGUAGUUAACUUGUGAUUAUGUGAAGAUUGAUUGUUUUUUAUAAAAUAAGUUUAAUGCUAGCUAGCAACUUACCUUGGCUCCUUGCUGCACUCGUGUAACAGGUGGUCAGCCUGCCACGCAGUUCCCUUGUGGAAUGCANNNNNNNNNNUCGUCAACCAUGUGUAGUUAACUUGUGAUUAUGUGAAGAUUGAUUGUUUUUUAUAAAAUAAGUUUAAUGCUAGCUAGCAACUUACCUUGGCUCCUUGCUGCACUCGUGUAACAGGUGGUCAGCCUGCCACGCAGUUCCCUUGUGGAAUGCAAUGUAAUCAGUCCAAAAAUGCCGAUUACAAUUGUAAUGAAAACUUGAAAUCGGCCGUAAUUAUUCGGCCAUGCCGAUUAGUCAGUCGACCUCUAGUGCCACGCUUGUAGCGUCAUACACAAGACGACUNNNNNNNNNNAUCUGAGGUUUGUAACAUCAACAGUGAGGACAAACCCAGCCUGCCUCUCUCCUUCCACACUGAAUCCAAACCUACGGUCACUGGGUCCUGAUUGUGACAGUGGAGCCCAGUUUGCACUGCAGGAUCCAGAGAUGACAUCAGUGAAGCUGGAAGACUGCAGUCAAACACUGGAGCUGAAUGCCAACAUUAAAGAUGAAGAAGAGGAGGAGACGAUUGGGAAAUCUGUUCAUCAUGGUAAGAGCAGGUUCUAUCUAUCUAUAAGUUAUCUUCAUAAAUUAGACUUCCAUAAGUUAUGACCCAGUCUAUUGAUAGGUUGACUUCUGUAAUUCUGACAUCACACAUCCCUGAACAACUGAGCUAUCUGGAGUGAUCAGAGAGGAGACUAAAGAAGUGAAGUAGAUAAACUGNNNNNNNNNNCAGUGUUUUGAAGUUCUAUGAAAUGAGUUUGUAGUUACUAACCGUUGUGAUAGUGAGGGAGGAUGAUAAUUGAUUAUGACUCAUAAUAUUCACCCCUUAUGCCCAUUUUUUGCCCUCAACUGUUGAACAACUUUUAGAGCUGACCCCAUUUAGUCAACUGGUCAAUUGUUUGGUGGAUAGAUGUUGGUCGACCAAGCUUUUUUUAGUCGAGCAGUGGCAAAUAUAUACAGUGCUGCUUGAAAGUCUGUGAACCCCUUGUGNNNNNNNNNNGUUAAAUCAAGUAGCUAAGUAGAUUCAGGUGGGUAAAUAAUUGGGUACCAAAUGAACCAAUCAAAGGAGAGAUCGUUAGGAAAGAGUUUGUGCGGGACUCUGACAGAGGUAAGAAACCUGGUCAGUUUUGUGUUACCCAUCCAGGUGAAUUCAAAGCACAACAUGCCGAGAGGAAAGGAUAUCUCAGAGGACAACAGGACGAGGGUAGUUGGAACACAUCAUUCUGGGGAAGGCUAUAAAAUCAUCUCAAAAANNNNNNNNNNNNNNNNNNNNNNNNNNNNNNNNNNNNNNNNNNNNNNNNNNNNNNNNNNNNNNNNNNNNNNNNNNNNNNNNNNNNNNNNNNNNNNNNNNNNNNNNNNCCCCCCCCCCCCCCCCCCCCCCCCCCCCGCUAAAAACCACGUUAACACAUUAUGCUAAUUGAGUAACAACUGUCCCGUAGACAGGACACCCUAACAAGUUUUACGUUAUCCCAGCAUAAAUCCUCAUUAAAUGUUCCGUUGUCCGUGGUACGUUUGCUUACACAAGCGCACAUGCCAAGGGAAGGAAAACCAAGUAUCCUGGUAGGCUGCAACCUGUUCAGAAUGAGUCUGACGUCAUCAGAGAAUUUCCAGGUCAAUGCCUGGAGGUCAGUAAGAAUUUAUGUCGACCUCAAGACACAUGUUAAGAGGACCAUAAAACUGGUGGGAGAGAGCGAAAGAGGGGAGGGGAAAGGGUGAUGGGAUCUGGCGCCUAUGAUCCUCACCCAAAAGGGCAAGUCAUGACAUGACCCAGUCUAUUGCUAGGUUGAAUUCUGUAGUUCUGACAUCACACAUCGCUGAGAAACUCCACACUGCACAACAAAGCUUGUGUUGUUCGUUUCAACUUCCCUCUGGGCAUGAAAAGUUGCAGUAGAACUGUUUGAUGGUGAACUGUUUAAAUGAAAAGGUAAUGUUAUUUCAUGCUACGGAGUCUUGCAGGGAUGACACCAGUAUUGUCAGCAUUUGUUUUAUUAACUGAGCUAUCUGGAGUGCUCAGAGGAUAGCCUAAAGAAGUGAAGUAGAUAAACUGCCAGUUUUUUUUUUAAGUUCUAUGAAAUGAGUCUGUGUAGUUACUAACCCUUGUGAUAGUGAGUGGAGGAUGAUAUAACAACAUUUUCAUGACUUUUGACUCUUUUUUAGCUUUCAACUCUUAACCCACUUUUAGAAUAGUUUUAUUCCCCUUUUGUAUUGCACAGCCUACUGACAUGAAUACAUACAGUUGAAGUUGGAAGUUUACAUACACCUUAUACACCAAAUACAUUUAAACUCAGUUUUUCACAAUUCCUGACAUUUAAUCCUAGUAAAGAUUCCCUGUCUUUAAAGUAAAGUUGGUUUUAUAUUCACACAUUCGGACAUUAAGUAGACAUUAAGCAGACAAUCAGCAGACAUUUGCAAAAAGCCCUUAAUAAUUGUGUUUUAGGUCAGUUAGGAUCACCACUUUAUAUUACGAAUGUGAAAUGUCAGAAUAAUAAUAGAGCGAAUGAUUUAUUUCAGCUUUUAUUUCUUUCAUCACAUUCCCAGUGGGUGAGAAGUUUACAUACACUCAAUUAGUAUUUGGUAGCAUUGCCUUUAAAUUGUUUAACUUGGGUCAAACAUUUCGGGUAGCCUUCCACAAGCUUCCCACAAUAUGUUGGGUAAAUUUUGGCCCAUUCCUCCUGACAGAGCUGGUGUAACUGAGUCAGGCUUGUAGGUCUCCUUGCUCGCACACACACUUUUC
rnacentral:lncRNA from 13 species